CUUUUAUUUUUGUCAGCGAUUCUGUGGAAUCAUUUGUCAUAUAAAAGCUUUCAGUUUGGAUCAGUUUGCCUUUUAAUUUAGUUUAGGUGAAGGUCUUAAUGAAAGUUACUGUCGUCAAAUUAGUCUCCCAAACAAUCCAUCUGUUAGUUACUAUAUCGUUUAUUAAUGCUUGCCUCUCUGCUGCUUUCUCACAGAAAGGGGAGUGUGUUUGCCUACAGUGUCUCUCUGGAUCCUCUUUGUUUAUAUUGAAGCAGCCAUUAGAUUUAAAGAUCUCAAAAACUUUCAUGUAGACCUUUCCAAUUAAGGUUUGAUGGCUAUUCCCUGUAAAAGGGCGGGCAGUCUGGCAGGUCUUUCUCAAGCUCUCUCAGCUCCAGGGAUAUUCUUUAGUAUGCUGUAUACCAUGGGUUAGCAAACAACAGCACACAGGCCAAAUCUGGCCCACUGCCUGUUUUUGUAAAAAUAAAUUUUACUGGAACACAGCCA
rnacentral:lncRNA from 10 species